rnacentral:rRNA from 1 species
GCACCACAAGAACGCGUGGAGCAUGUGGCUUAAUUUGACUCAACGCGGGAAAUCUUACCGGGUCCGGACACACUGAGGAUUGACAGGCAAUAUCUCAUGGUUAUUAAUUCGGUUAUUUAUUUAAGCGGUUAAUUAAGCAUCGAGUGUUAAAUAUGCUAGUCCUUUCAUGAUUAUGUGAUAGGUGGUGCAUGGCCGUUCUUAGUUCGUGGAGUGAUCUGUCUGCUUAAUUGCGUUUCACUAAGGGCCCAUAAAUUCAAGGUAUGUUAGCUAUCGUCGCUCUAUGGACCCCUUAUUCACUGCUUUAAUUAGUUCGUUUAGCGCGCGUCUUUAUUUAAUGAGUUUAAGACACUGCGCAUGCUGUUGGGCUCUGAAAGCAACGAACGUGACCGGCAACGUCUUGU